AGUGAGAUCCAGGACAGCCAGAACCGUAUACUGUGACCCUGUCUACAAACAGAACCAACAAAACAAAAAGAAAAAGAAAAAGAGAUACCUUUGGGAUGAAAGGCUAAGAAGCACGUUCCUGAGGUGACUGGCAGCUCCCAGGAAACCCAGCUGUCAGUGUAAUACAAAAUGCAACGUAUCCCACUGUUUCAGAGUCAAAUCAGAGAGUGAUAUGGGAAAUCUUCUUGGUGGAUAUUCAUUACAUUAUCUUGGCAAAUUAUAGAUAUGGCAAAACAUGGAACUAAAUUCAUAUUCUCUCUCUCUCUCUCUCUCUCUCUCUCUCUCUCUCUCUCUUUCUCUCUCUCUCCCUCUUUUCCCACCUCACCUCCCUUUUCCUCUUUCUUUCCUUGGAAUCUUUAACUGGGCUCCAGCCUUGUGGUUAAGUUUCACUCACAGCAAUGCUGACUUGAAGCAGAGCAGUUUAAAGAACAACACAAGUGUCCUCUGCCACCCCCACUCCCUCCUUUCCUACAGCUCGAUGGCAAAUGACCUUUUCUAUCCCUGCUGCAGACCUCUGGGUUCCUUCCCCUGGUCCCAUGACUGCAGGACAGUUACGUGAGUGUGCCUUGGCUGCCUCCUUCCUAGAGAGUGGGUCUCCCUGUGCUUCUUACGUUCCUUUUCAUCAUCACUAAGUUGAAAUGAACGAGAAAUCCAUUGUGGAGAUUUUGAGAAGGGCCACCUUGGUAAAGUCCCCUCUCUUCCUUCACUGCUUUCCAGAGAUGGCUGGCAUCACAACACAGAGGCCUUAGGGAGCCAUGUUCCCCAGAAGUUCAGAACGCAGGUCCCUACUUGUGCAUGCUCAAGCUGUCCUCUCCUUGAGCGCCUCGGGGCUAGUCUAUUGCUGCUUUGGUUUUCCUGUCCUCACAGACAAUUCCAGUGGGUAGCAAGUGUGGAGAGGCACCAAACUGGGCCACAGACUUACAAGGUGACCCUAAGUAAAUGGACAGGUGUGGAACGAACUGUGAGAAGUUGGGCCUGGAGAGAUGGCUCAGCAGUUAAGAGCACUGACUGCUCUUCCAGAAGACCUGAGUUCAAUUCCCAGCAACGUGACUCACAACUAUCUGAAAUGGAAUCAGACACCUUCUAAUGGUCACCUGAACUGCAGGUGGAUGUGUGCCAAAGACAGAAGACAAACCUCUUCAGUGUCACUGUCUAUGACAGCCCUACAUCCUUUAGUGGUGAGUUAAGGGGACAUGGUAUAAUGCAUUCCUGCAACAGAGUUCCACCUGUGUGUGAACACUCAAUACCAUGGACCAGUGGUGACACAUGGAUAGCGGAUGACCACGUAGUGGCUGUCAUUUGUCUUUAUAAAGCAGUCUAUGUGACUCGGACUCGUGGAGUGGUGGCAUAUGCAGUGUCGGGGACACAGGAGGAACGCUUUCCUCAGAACGCCAGUUACACAUGUUUUCUUAACUUGAGUGGAGGUGGGAGGCAGGUGUGUUCUCUUGGGAACUCUUCCAACUGUGCACUUCAGUGCACUUCUUGAGUGUUGAUUUUACAUAUUUUUAAUAAAAAAAAGUUUGAAAGUACCUGU
ensembl:lincRNA 9530052E02Rik RIKEN cDNA 9530052E02 gene